UCAUGCAUUACCGGGCUAGUCUUCCUUGGCAGUGUUCGUACCCGCGCAACGUGGCGAUGCACCGGCCACUGCCAAAGGAGAUUUGCCCAGCAAUGCACCA
rfam:Triticum aestivum genome assembly, contig: Triticum_aestivum_CS42_TGACv1_scaffold_252597_3DL